rnacentral:rRNA from 1 species
UACGUAGGGUGCAAGCGUUGUCCGGAAUUAUUGGGCGUAAAGAGCUCGUAGGCGGUUUGUCGCGUCCGCUGUGAAAAUCCAGGGCUUAACCCUGGACCUGCAGUGGGUACGGGCAGACUAGAGUGCGGUAGGGGAGAUCGGAAUUCCUGGUGUAGCGGUGAAAUGCGCAGAUAUCAGGAGGAACACCGGUGGCGAAGGCGGGUCUCUGGGCAACAACUGACGCUGAGGAGCGAAAGUGUGGGGAGCGAACAGG